ACGGUCCCUCCCCGGCUAGCCAGCCAGCUCCCAUCACCCUAAUCAGGAGUGGGCUAGACGGCCCCGAUCACUGGCCAGCCCAAGGGACCCCACCCGUGCACGAAUUCGUGAACCAGGCCUCUAGCAUAAAUAUGUUUGACUAUUUGAAUGUGUUUGUCAUGGGCAGUGAACUAUUUUAGCGGCUUUUGGACCUUUUUAAAAAGUUGUAUCUAUAAAAAGUGAACCAAAUAUUUGGCUUUGAAGUAAAGAGAAAUACUAAAAUUGUUGAGUUAUUUUAGUGUGACAGUAUGUAAAUAAAUGAAAUGAGGAUGGUGGUGGUAAAUUAAUUUUCCAUAGCAAAACUGCCCGUCCGCCACCUAACAAAGCUUUGUUUCUAUUACACAUCAUCCUCUGAGGAUAGAAAAGGAGGAGGGACUGGACAAGCAGCACUCAUGCUACCCGCCCUGGAAUGGUGUCAGCUCAUCGGCAUAGCCAUCAGAAAGUUGCAGCCAAAAGACCAAGCUGUGACAUCUAAUUAAGACAUCCAGCGCAGAAGCUAAGCAUUGAACAGUUCCACCAAACCCCACAGCUUUCCAAGCUCAUGUGAAAUUCUGACUUGGCUGCUCUCUGCUGGGUGGACAUUGGACAGAGGACCCCAGCUUCCUCCACAUUGCUUAGGUCGCUCCUGACUCCAGUCUGCAUCAGAAAAACGUUUGAAUCAGGUACUGCCCCAUCGGACGGUCACUGUAUCCCUAAGGACCCCGAGAAAUGGCACCUCCUCCUCUGGAGAGAUUCUCAGGCUGACUGUUCACUCCUCGGACAUGUGGACCCCGGAUGACCCAUCCAGAACAAAAAAAAGUACCAGCCUCUCUCGGGUGGGUGUCAGAGCGCCCUGC